CCUACGGGUUGCACCAGUGGGGAAUAUUGCACAAUGGGCGCAAGCCUGAUGCAGCCAUGCCGCGUGUAUGAAGAAGGCCUUCGGGUUGUAAAGUACUUUCAGCGGGGAGGAAGGUGUUGUGGUUAAUAACCGCAGCAAUUGACGUUACCCGCAGAAGAAGCACCGGCUAACUCCGUGCCAGCAGCCGCGGUAAUACGGAGGGUGCGAGCGUUAAUCGGAAUUACUGGGCGUAAAGCGCAUGCAGGCGGCCUGUUAAGUCAGAUGUGAAAGCCCGGGGCUUAACCUCGGAAUUGCAUUUGAAACUGGCAGGCUAGAGUCUUGUAGAGGGGGGUAGAAUUUCAGGUGUAGCGGUGAAAUGCGUAGAGAUCUGAAGGAAUACCAGUGGCGAAGGCGGCCCCCUGGACAAAGACUGACGCUCAGAUGCGAAAGCGUGGGGAGCAAACAGGAUUAGAUACCCGGGUAGUC
rnacentral:rRNA from 1 species